AACGCGAAGAACCUUACCAAGGCUUGACAUGCUGGUAGUACCGAUCCGAAAGGUGAGGGACCCUUCGGGGAGCCAGUGCAGGUGAUGCACGGCUGUCGUCAGCUCGUGCCGUGAGGUGUUGGGUUAAGUCCCGCAACGAGCGCAACCCCUGUUGCCAGUUGUAUUUUUCUGGCGAGACUGCUGAGAGAAACUCAGAGGAAGGCGGGGAUGAAGUCAAGUCCGCGUGUCCCUUACGUCUUGGGCUACACACACGCUACAAUGGCCGGUACAGAGGGCUGCGAAAGAGCGAUCUGGAGCUAAUCCCACAAAGCCGGCCCCAGUUCAGAUUGCAGGCUGAAACCCGCCUGCAUGAAGGCGGAGUUGCUAGUAACCGCAGGUCAGCACACUGCGGUGAAUACGUUCCCGGGCCUUGUA
rnacentral:rRNA from 1 species